UUACAUUUUUUUCCCUUGCUUUCCGGCUUAUUCUUCUUUCUUUCCCUUCAUUGUCAUUUUUUUCGUUUUUUUCCUGUUUCCUUCCAUUCUUUUCUUUUCUUAUCCUAUUCUUCACUUUUCCUCUCGCUUCGUUUUAUUUUUACUUUUGCCCCACUUUCUCUCCGUUUAUUUUCCUCCUUUUGUGUUUCCUCUCUUACCACAACUGGCUGACUUUGAAACCAACCACUGUAGUAACACGAUUUGUUUUCUUAUUUCAUUCUUUCUUUCAUUUUCUUUAUCCUCUUCCUCUCUCUGUAUGUGAACGUGAGCGUGCGUGCGUGUAUGUGUAUGUGUAUGUCUCUCUCUUUCCCUGUUUCUCUUUCUCCCCCACCCUGGACACACUUCCUUUUGUUGUUGUUAUCUUUUUUUUUUCGUUUACCCUUCCUCUCGCUCCAAGCUCGCCAUUUCAUACAUUCUUGCUCCCAGUGCCCGGCGUGGCGAGGCGCACGAGUGGAGAAACUUGCUAACCUUUCAUACAGUGUCAUGCUUGCGCCAUACAUUGUAAACAUGGUGUCGAAAUUUUGACAGGAGAACUACGAAUGAAAAAGGAGCUGGUCAGAGAGAGAGAGAGAGAGAGAGAGAGAGAGAGAAAGAGAGUGUGUGUG